rnacentral:rRNA from 1 species
ACAGGGAUUGCCCUAGUAACGGCGAGUGAAGCGGCAACAGCUCAAAUUUGAAAUCUGGCGUCUUCGGCGUCCGAGUUGUAAUUUGCAGAGGGCGCUUUGGCAUUGGCAGCGGUCCAAGUUCCUUGGAACAGGACGUCACAGAGGGUGAGAAUCCCGUACGUGGUCGCUAGCCUUUACCGUGUAAAGCCCCUUCGACGAGUCGAGUUGUUUGGGAAUGCAGCUCUAAAUGGGAGGUAAAUUUCUUCUAAAGCUAAAUACUGGCCAGAGACCGAUAGCGCACAAGUAGAGUGAUCGAAAGAUGAAAAGCACUUUGGAAAGAGAGUUAAAAAGCACGUGAAAUUGUUGAAAGGGAAGCGCUUGCAGCCAGACUUGCCUGUAGUUGCUCAUCCGGGUUUUUACCCGGUGCACUCUUCUAUAGGCAGGCCAGCAUCAGUUUGGGCGGUUGGAUAAAGGUCUCUGUCAUGUACCUCUCUUCGGGGAGAACUUAUAGGGGAGACGACAUGCAACCAGCCUGGACUGAGGUCCGCGCAUCUGCUAGGAUGCUGGCGUAAUGGCUGUAAGCGGCCCGUCUUGAAACACGGACCAAGGAGUCUAACAUCUAUGCGAGUGUUUGGGUGUCAAGCCCGAGCGCGUAAUGAAAGUGAACGGAGGUGGGAACCUUUCGGGGUGCACCAUCGACCGAUCCUGAUGUCUUCGGAUGGAUUUGAGUAAGAGCAUAGCUGUUGGGACCCGAAAGAUGGUGAACUAUGCUUGAAUAGGGUGAAGCCAGAGGAAACUCUGGUGGAGGCUCGCAGCGGUUCUGACGUGCAAAUCGAUCGUCAAAUUUGGGCAUAGGGGCGAAAGACUAAUCGAACUAUCUAGUAGCUGGUUCCUGCCGAAGUUUCCCUCAGGAUAGCAGUAACGUUUUCAGUUUUAUGAGGUAAAGCGAAUGAUUAGAGGCCUGGGGGUUGAAACAACCU